rnacentral:rRNA from 1 species
GAUGAACGCUAGCGGCAGGCUUAACACAUGCAAGUCGAGGGGCGAGCACGGGUAGCAAUACCUGGUGGCGACCGGCGCAAGGGUGCGUAACGCGUGAGCAACAUGCCCUAUACAGGGGGAUAAUCCAGGGAAACUUGGUCUAAUAUCCCAUAGUAUUUAGAGGAGGCAUCUUCUAUAAAUUAAAGCUUCGGUGGUAUAGGAUUCGGCUCGCGUGACAUUAGCUAGAUGGUGAGGUAACGGCUCACCAUGGCAAUGAUGUCUAGGGGUUCUGAGAGGAAGGCCCCCCACACUGGGACUGAGACACGGCCCAGACUCCUACGGGAGGCAGCAGUGAGGAAUAUUGGACAAUGGAUGGAAAUCUGAUCCAGCCAUGCCGCGUGCAGGAAGACAGCCCUAUGGGUUGUAAACUGCUUUUAUAUGGGAGCAAUAAGGUCUACGUGUAGACUGAUGAGAGUACCAUAUGAAUAAGC